rnacentral:rRNA from 1 species
AUUGAACGCUGGCGGCAUGCCUUACACAUGCAAGUCGAACGGGCUUUGGGGCUUGCUCCAAAGUUAGUGGCGAACGGGUGAGUAAAGUAUCGGAACGUGUCAUUGAGUGGGGGAUAACGCAGCGAAAGUUGCGCUAAUACCGCAUAUUCUGUGAGCAGGAAAGCAGGGGACCGCAAGGCCUUGUGCUUGAUGAGCGGCCGAUAUCAGAUUAGCUAGUUGGUGAGGUAACGGCUCACCAAGGCGACGAUCUGUAGCGGGUCUGAGAGGAUGAUCCGCCACACUGGGACUGAGACACGGCCCAGACUCCUACGGGAGGCAGCAGUGGGGGAAUUUUGGACAAUGGGGGCGAACCCUGAUCCAGCCAUGCCGCGUGAGUGAAGAAGGCCUCGG